rnacentral:rRNA from 1 species
CCUUUAGCUGGUUAAAUAUUCCAGCACCGGUGUGGGUUAAGUGUUAGAGCGACCUGGUCUAGGAGGGAGGCAGCCCGUUGAUUGUGGCUGUCGCGCAAGCGGAUGCUGAGGCUUCGGCCAAAGUGAAUCUUCUAAAUGGGCCAGCAAGAAAAACUCUAACAUGUUUACCAUACCGCCCGUACCGCAAACCGACACAGGUGGGUGAGUAGAAUAUACUAAGGCGCGUGAGUGAAACCUGGUUAAGGAACUCGGCAAAAUAGCCCCGUAACUUCGGAAGAAGGGGUGCCCCGCAAGGGGCCGCAGUGAAAGGGGUCAACCGACUGUUUAGCAAAAACACAGCACUCUGCUAACCUGAAAGGGGAUGUAUAGGGUGUGACACGUGACCAAUGCCGAAAGAUUAUGGUAAGGGGUUAGCCGCAAGGCGAAGCUUUGAGCCGAAGUCCCGGUGAAUGUCGGCCGUAACUAUAACGGUCCUAAGGUAGCGAAAUUCCUUGUCGGGUAAGUUCCGACCUGCACGAAUCGUGUAACGAGUUGACCGCUGUCUCAACCAGGUGCUCAGCGAAGUUGUAGUGGCGGUGAAGAUGCCGCCUACCCGCAGAAGGACGGAAAGACCCUAUGCACCUUAACUGUACGCUGUUAUUGAUUUUCUGAUUUCAUUGCUUAGCGUAAGUGGGAGACUGUGAAGCUGACCUUUCGGGGUCGGCAGAGUCGCCAAUGAAACACCACCCUGUGGUAUUGGGAAAUCUAACUUGCCUUUAGGCGAGGACCAUGGCAGCCGGUCAGUUUUACUGGGGCGGUAUCCUCCUAAAAAGUAACGGAGGAGUGCGAAGUUUGGCUCAGCCCGGUUAGCAAUCGGGUGACGAGUACAUGGACAUAAGCCAGACUUACUGCGAGACCUACAAGUCAAGCAGUCACGAAAGUGGGCCCAAGUGAUCCGGCGGUUCCGAGUGGAAGGGCCGUCGCUUAACGGAUAAAAGGUACGCUAGGGAUAACAGGCUGAUUGCGCCCAAGAGUUCAUAUCGACGGCGCGGUUUGGCACCUCGAUGUCGGCUCAUCGCAUCCUGGGGCUGGAGAAGGUCCCAAGGGUCCGGCUGUUCGCCGGUUAAAGCGGUACGCGAGCUGGGUUCAGAACGUCGCGAGACAGUUCGGUCCUCUAUCCUCUGUGGGCGUUAGGAGAAUUGCGGGGUUCGGUUCCUAGUACGAGAGGACCGGAAUCGACGCACCUCUGGUGCACCGGUUGUCGUGUCAACGGCAUGGCCGGGUAGCUAUGUGCGGAAAGGAUAAGCGCUGAAAGCAUCUAAGCGCCAAGCCUCUCCCAAGAUGAAUUCUCCCUGAAGGGGUGUGGUAGACCACCACGUUGAUAGGUCGCUAGUGCAAGUUGGGGUAACCCUCUUAGCUAAACGAUACUAAUUCCCCGCAAA